GUGCUCGCUUCAGCAGCACAUAUACUAAAAUUGGAAUGAUACAGAGAAGGUUAGCAUGGCCCCUGCGCAAGGAUGACACGCAAAUUCGUGAAGCAUUCUAUAUUUUU
rnacentral:snRNA from 1 species